CCAAGGAGUCUGGCAGAUGCGCCGAGUCCGAGGGUUGUAAGAAUCCUAUUGGGCGAAGUGAAAGCGAAUUUGGGCCCAUCUCUUUUUUUUUUAAAAAAAGAAGGAGCGCAAGCCCGGGACUCUCUGGAUUUUAUAUACCACUGAGUACCCUGAGCGCAUAUGCCAGGACCCGAAAGAUGGUGAACUAUGCCUGAUCAGGACGAAGCCAGGGGAAACUCUGGUGGAGGUCCGCACUGGUUCUGACGUGCAAAUCGAUCAGACGAGUUGGGCAUAGGGGCGAAAGACUAAUCGAACCAUCUAGUAGCUGGUUCCCCCCGAAAUUUCCCUCAGAUAGCUGGCACUCGGGAGGAGUUUCACCCUGUAAAGCUAACGAUUAGGGUGAUCGGGGGCGCAAUGCCCUCGAACCAUUCUCGAACUCUAAAUGGGUGAGAGGCUGGACCUGCCAAAUGGAGGUACCGGCGUAGAAUCCAGAGUGCCUAGUGGGCCAUUUUUGGUAAGCAGAACUGGCGAUGUGGGAUGAACCAAGAGCCGGGCUAAGGUGCCAAAGGGGACGGUCAUCAGAUCCCAAGAAGGGUGUUGGUCGCUAUAGACAGCAGGGCGGUGGCCAUGGAAGUCGGAAUCCGCCAAGGAGUGUGUAACAACUCACCUGCCGAAGCGAGCAGCCCCUAAAAUGGAUGUGCGCUGAAACGUCCCACCGAUGCCUGGCCGUUGGAGCAGGAGAGGCCUGCCAGAAGGCUCCUUCAUUGAAGAUGAGUGGCAGGAGACCUCUAAGCUCCAACGAGUAGGAGGGUCGCAGCAGUGGCGCUGAAGGGAUUCAGGGUGACCUGGCCUGUAGCCGCUGUUGGCGCAGAUCUUGGUGGUAGUGCAAAUAAUCGAGAU
rnacentral:rRNA from 1 species